UGCACGUUGUUUCUUCUGGUAUUGAGAACUGAAUACAUUUGAAAGGAUGUACAAAGGGAUAUUCCUCUGCGUAUUCCUUGCUGCAAUCUGUGCAAAUGCACUGGCACAGCCCACAGGCUUUGCAGAUGCAGAUGAAGAAAGCCACGAGCGAUACAUCCGAGGAAUGGCAACUAAAGCUGGAACGGCGUUUGGAAAAGCUGCAAAAGCUAUUAUUGGUGCUGCUCUGGGACGUCGCAGUGCUCUGGAACUUGAGGAUCUCAUUCCAGUUAAAAGAAUGGCUCAAAUUGAUUAAACCAGGAAAUUAAAUGGCCAGGUCGGAUUUUUGCUCUACUGAAGACUAAUAUGAAUGUCUGCAAUGCGCCAAACCUAUAAAAAUAUACUUCUGUUGUGAAAUGCUGAAAAUAAAACGACCUAUAUGCAUGUAUUCACCAUUUGUUUUACUUUAUUGUCUAUCUAUUGUCUCUCAAUUUCCACUGAACCUAUUAUACCAUUAUCUAUUUAGUUUUUAUUGUGCCUUUACAGUGCAGUCUCAGGCAGUUACCAUGACAGUCCUGUCAGUGAAAGAAAAUGAAU